GAACUCACAAACCGUGAGACCAUGACCUGAGCUGAAGUCAGAUGCUUAACCGACGGAGCCACCCAGGCACCCCCAUAACAAACCACUUUAAAACAUGGAGACAACUGAUUCCAUCUGCAUUGAUGUUUCAGAGUUCUCUUACACCAACGUUCGAAGAGCCAGGUCCUGGAAUCUGGCACACACUGUCUGAAAUGCAUCUCCAUCUAUGUGCUUCCUACCGCAACAGAUCCCUAUUCCACAAACCCAAUUUUAUUGGGGGAGGAUGAUAAACACGAAACAUGCUGCCUUUCAGUGUUCAAAGCACGGCUGUCUUCAAUGGAAUACUCUUAACGUCAAACCUACAUCCCCAAAUCAAACUGGAGAGCCAGAUCAAUCACUCACGUGAAGGGGGCUUCAUAUCCAACAUGGCUCAAGAAUACAGGAAGAGUGACUUCAUAAAGAUGGAAAAACAGAAAAAACCCACCACUCCAGGUACAAAGGUAGAAAGCUUUUGUGCCCCACCCCUCUCUUUAAUACACCCAGAAAGCGUAAGGAACAGAGGGGGUCCUAAUUAGUAAAAAAGCAUUCACACAUGAUUAAUUGGUAAUCUUGGCACCAGCUGUAUGGAACCAAAUGCUAUACUUCAUGAGACAGACACUUGCAAGCUUUACAUCUGCUUCAUGCUAAGAGAACAUCUGCUUUACUCAUUCAAACACUUUUCCAGUUUUACAGCAAUUUACACUUUGCCUGGUGGAUCGUGCCAAUGAAAAUGUACACCAAUAGAAGUUACCCUCUAAAGAAUGCAACAUGAACAAAUACUUCAUAUUUUCAUUUCCAUCAGUUCCACAGGGAAAGUGAUGUCGGGAGAAUGAAAACAUUUCUUCUGGAGAUAAUGACAGAAAGAAACAGACAAAAGCGGUGUUAUUUUUAAGGAGCUGUACAACGAAAACCAUUUAAUAGUAGUUUAAUAGUAAUUUGACAAAAAUACUAAAAGGAAAAAGCAUUAAAACAAUGACUGCUCACAGUGAGUGAUCUGGGUCCCCUAGAAACACACAAAAUGUAACAGCGCCUUUUAGGCAAAUGACACCACAUCUGCCAAAGGAAACCUCGCGUUAGUUUUUAAGACUCUUCAUGUAAAUAACUUUUGUUUACAAAAACUGUGUCCAAACUGAGUAGGCUGCUGGUGGUGGGGAAGCCACGGAAAGACCAACUUUACAAAUGCAGUCUGUUUCAGGAGCAGGUAACAAAUCAUCUCACCAAGAAACAGUAGCUCACGAUAAAGACAGCUGUUCUUAAAGUUUCGUACUGGGAACCAUGCCCUUAGCAGACAUUCUUCAACGUUUAUUUAUUUUUGGGACAGAGAGAGACAGAGCAUGAAUGGGGGAGGGGCAGAGAGAGAGGGAGACACAGA